CUGACUGUAUCUGAUUGGUACUAAGCCAUGCGAGUCGUUGUACAAUACAAGGCGGACUGCUCAGUAACACGUAGUUAACUUAACCUAUGGAUGGGGAUAACCUCGGGAAACUGAGAAUAAUACCCAAUGGACCACAGUGCCUGGAAUGGCCUGUGGUUGAAAUGAUUUAUCGCCGUAGGAUAGGACUGCGGCCUAUCAGCUUGUUGGUGAGGUAAUGGCCCACCAAGGCUAUAACAGGUACGGGCUCUGAGAGGAGGGGCCCGGAGAUGGGUACUGAGACACGGACCCAGGCCCUAUGGGGCGCAGCAGGCGAGAAACCUUUGCAAUGUGCGAAAGCACGACAAGGUUAAUCCGUGUGUCUCCUGCUAAAGGAGUCUUUUGUCAGUUGUAGAAUCACUGGUGAAUAAGGGGUGGGCAAGUUCUGGUGUCAGCCGCCGCGGUAAAACCAGCACCUCGAGUGGUCAGGAGGUUUAUAUGGGCCUAAAGCAUCCGUAGCCGGUUGCAUAAGUUACCGGUUAAUCUAUGCGCUUAACGUAUAAGCCCGCGAAAUACUGUG
rnacentral:rRNA from 1 species